rnacentral:tRNA from 1 species
GCGCUAGUAGUUUAGUGGCAGAAUACGAGCUUCCCAAGCUCGGGGUGCGGGUUCAAUUCCCGCCUGGCGCA